UGACGAUGAAGAGACCACAUCUGCUGUGACAGAAGUGGACAAUGCUGGUAGAUCCACUGAGUACAUACCUAGGGGUUUGCCCACAGAUGAGGGUCCUUCAACCUCAGCACACAAUCUAAGCAGGGUAACAAUUUGUGUCCAGG